CCUAAAGCCUUCUGUAGGGUGUGGUCAGUCACACAUCCCUUCUCUCUUGUCUAUUAAAGAUUUUCCAGGAGAUGAAAUGAGAUGUCUCCCUGGGUCUUAAGUCUGCCUUCUAACCCAGCAGGGAGGGUUUGCUCCCUCCCUCCCAGUUCUUGGGCCUGGUCCCACAACCCAACCCCCCACCAAGGCCCCUCCUUUACAUCUGAAGGAGUUAGGGGAUGGAGGCCAACGUUGGCUCUGCAAACACCACCUCCACAGGCCCAAAUACUGCAGGUCACGAGAGGCACUGAUGGCAGCUCCUUCUGUGACGGGCUCAGGAACACCUGGUUGCUGCUCUCCAUGAGCUGUUCCAACUGUGAAGCAAAAGCUUCAUGCAUAAAGGCAUCCCAACGCAGUCAAUGACGCACAGGAGAAAGAGGACAGAGAUAAGCUUCUUGCCUGUUCCAGACACUGAGGAUCAGGCAGAGAGAGAGGCUCCUGCCAGGCUGAGCUGUGCUCUGAGGAACAUUUCGGGAGCCUCCAGAACUGAAGAGGGGGCCAACUCUCUGGAGAAAAAUGAAUGGAUGUAGGCCCAAAGGAGCCGAAUGUUUUCCUUGGCUGAAUGGCAAGCAAGCACCAAGUGUCCACAGUUUCCGGAGUGUGGAUAUGAACAGCCGUCUUGGGUCCUGAGGUGGAAGCCAUGUGUGGAAGAUGGAGGGCAUCGGUUAGAAGGAGUCUAGUCCCUGAUGGUCACUGAGCUGCAGAACCAGCCUGGGCUGCUUCCUGCUGGAUGUCACUUACUAGAGAGCGAAAUUAAAUGUGCUUCAGCUACUGUUACUUUGGGUUUUCUGUCAUUUGUAGCUGAAAUAAUCCUAAUCAAUAUGAGAUAUAUUAAGUAAACAAAAAUGCAAAUGAAAACGAUUAUGAAUUGUAUGAUUCCAAUUUUAUCUUCUUUUAUGUGAUUUAAGUCUUUAACUUUUAACCCAGAUGAUUUUAUUUUAAAAUGUGUGUUUAUAUACAUCCAUAUGUACAUAGAAAAAAGACAGGAAUGUUGAAAGCUAAAGUAUUAGUAGAGAUUAUUUCAGGAUGGUAGGUUAUAAGGAUUUCAUGUGCUUAUUUAUUUACCUUUUGUUUGUUCAUCUGUAUUUGCUAAUUUUUCUAUUUUUUUAUUUUUAUUUUUUGAGACAGGAUCUCACUUUGUCACUCAGGCUGGAGUACAGUGGCACAAUCAUGGCUCACCACAGCCUUGACCUCCUGGGCUCAGGUGAUCCUCCCACCUCAGCCUCCUGAAUAGCUAGGACUUGGUACCUGCCACCACGCCUGGAUAAUUUUUGUAUUUCUUGUUGAGACAGGGUUUCGUCAUGUUGUCCAGGCUGAUCUCGAACUCCUGCGCUCAAACAAUCCACUGCCUCAGUCUCCCAAAGUGCUAGGAUUACAGGCGUGGACCACCAUGCCCGGCCUCUAAUUUUUCUUCAACAAAACUGUAUUACUUUUUAAAUAAGAAAAAAUAAUAAAAGGUAUAAAGUGUAUGACUUAAUGAGAUCCAUAUGUAUUGCAGUAAUAAAAAAAACCUGAAGCCAAGGCGGGUGGAUCAUUUGAGGUCAGGAGUUCGAGACCAGCCUGGACAACAUGGUGAAACCUCGUUUCUACUAAAAAUACAAAAAUUAGCCAGGAGUGGUGGUAUGUGCCCGUGAUCCCAGAUACCUGGGAGGCUGAGGCAGGAGAAUUGCUUGAAACCAGGAGGUGGAGGUUACAGUGAGCCAAGAAUCCACCACUGCACUCCAGCCUGGGCGACAGAGCGAGACUGUGUCUCAAAAACAAAAAAACAAAACAAAACAAAAAAAACCUUAUUCUCAGAAUGAAGAUCUGAAAUAAGAAACAAACAAACAAACAAAAAAUAUUUUAAAAAGGAAAUAGAAAACAAAUAACUUAUUCAUGAUUCCAUGGGAAAAAAGACUGAAAAUAAGUGUUCUAAAGUAAAUAAGGGCAUGAGAAAUUGUUCAAAAUAUAGUGUUAAAGAGAAAAAAGGUUAUUCAACAAUAUGAUGCCAUUGUUUUUGAUAAAAAGAAUUAAACAACAUAAAUGUAUGCUAGAAAAAGAACUAGAAGGAAAUAAGCUGAUAUAUUGGUGGUCUGGUUCCAGAGGAGAGAUUUUAGUGAUUCUUAUUUUCCCCUUUAUACUUUUGGUAUUUUCUAAAUAUUUCUCUAAUAAACCUGUGCUAAUCUUAUUUAUUUCAAAAUGUUUCUACUUAGAGAAAUUUUAACAAGACAGAAAAGCAUGUUAUAAAGAAUAAUAAAAACACACACACAUCGCCACUGCUCAAAAUUAAAAUGAUUAAUUUUUGUUAUAUUUAAUUCCUGUCUUUAUUUUAAAGAAAUAAACAGUAACAGUAAAGUCCCA
rnacentral:lncRNA from 10 species